AGUGAACGCUGGCGGUAGGCCUAACACAUGCAAGUCGAACGGCAGCACAGUAAGAGCUUGCUCUUACGGGUGGCGAGUGGCGGACGGGUGAGGAAUACAUCGGAAUCUACUUUUUCGUGGGGGAUAACGUAGGGAAACUUACGCUAAUACCGCAUACGACCUACGGGUGAAAGCAGGGGAUCUUCGGACCUUGCGCGAUUGAAUGAGCCGAUGUCGGAUUAGCUAGUUGGCGGGGUAAAGGCCCACCAAGGCGACGAUCCGUAGCUGGUCUGAGAGGAUGAUCAGCCACACUGGAACUGAGACACGGUCCAGACUCCUACGGGAGGCAGCAGUGGGGAAUAUUGGACAAUGGGCGCAAGCCUGAUCCAGCCAUACCGCGUGGGUGAAGAAGGCCUUCGGGUUGUAAAGCCCUUUUGUUGGGAAGGAAAAGCAGCAGGUUAAUACCCCGCUGUUCUGACGGUACCCAAAGAGUAAGCACCGGCUAACUUCGUG
rnacentral:rRNA from 1 species